GGGAGACACCACUCCUUUCCAUCAGAAGGAGUGUGACAGGAAAGUCCUGCUCCAGAUGGAGAACAGAACGUUGCUCCUAAGAGAGAAGCAGCUGAUAAAUAUU
rnacentral:lncRNA from 1 species